UGCUGGAGGUAUCAGAAGUGCGAAUGCUGACAUAAGUAACGAUAAAGCGGGUGAAAAGCCCGCUCGCCGGAAGACCAAGGGUUCCUGUCCAACGUUAAUCGGGGCAGGGUGAGUCGACCCCUAAGGCGAGGCCGAAAGGCGUAGUCGAUGGGAAACAGGUUAAUAUUCCUGUACUUGGUGUUACUGCGAAGGGGGGACGGAGAAGGCUAUGUUAGCCGGGCGACGGUUGUCCCGGUUUAAGCAUGUAGGCUGGUUAUCCAGGCAAAUCCGGAUAAUCAAGGCUGAGGUGUGAUGACGAGGCACUACGGUGCUGAAGUAACAAAUGCCCUGCUUCCAGGAAAAGCCUCUAAGCAUCAGGUAACAUCAAAUCGUACCCCAAACCGACACAGGUGGUCAGGUAGAGAAUACCAAGGCGCUUGAGAGAACUCGGGUGAAGGAACUAGGCAAAAUGGUGCCGUAACUUCGGGAGAAGGCACGCUGGUGUGUAGGUGAAGCCCCUGCGGGUGGAGCUGAGACCAGUCGAAGAUACCAGCUGGCUGCAACUGUUUAUUAAAAACACAGCACUGUGCAAACACGAAAGUGGACGUAUACGGUGUGACGCCUGCCCGGUGCCGGAAGGUUAAUUGAUGGGGUUAUCCGUAAGGAGAAGCUCUUGAUCGAAGCCCCGGUAAACGGCGGCCGUAACUAUAACGGUCCUAAGGUAGCGAAAUUCCUUGUCGGGUAAGUUCCGACCUGCACGAAUGGCGUAAUGAUGGCCAGGCUGUCUCCACCCGAGACUCAGUGAAAUUGAACUCGCUGUGAAGAUGCAGUGUACCCGCGGCAAGACGGAAAGACCCCGUGAACCUUUACUAUAGCUUGACACUGAACAUUGAGCCUUGAUGUGUAGGAUAGGUGGGAGGCUUUGAAGCGUGGACGCCAGUCUGCGUGGAGCCAACCUUGAAAUACCACCCUUUAAUGUUUGAUGUUCUAACGUUGGCCCCUUACCGGGGUUGCGGACAGUGUCUGGUGGGUAGUUUGACUGGGGCGGUCUCCUCCCAAAGCGUAACGGAGGAGCACGAAGGUUAGCUAAUCCUGGUCGGACAUCAGGAGGUUAGUGCAAUGGCAUAAGCUAGCUUGACUGCGAGCGUGACGGCGCGAGCAGGUGCGAAAGCAGGUCAUAGUGAUCCGGUGGUUCUGAAUGGAAGGGCCAUCGCUCAACGGAUAAAAGGUACUCCGGGGAUAACAGGCUGAUACCGCCCAAGAGUUCAUAUCGACGGCGGUGUUUGGCACCUCGAUGUCGGCUCAUCACAUCCUGGGGCUGAAGUAGGUCCCAAGGGUAUGGCUGUUCGCCAUUUAAAGUGGUACGCGAGCUGGGUUUAGAACGUCGUGAGACAGUUCGGUCCCUAUCUGCCGUGGGCGCUGGAGAAUUGAGGGGGGCUGCUCCUAGUACGAGAGGACCGGAGUGGACGCAUCACUGGUGUUCGGGUUGUCAUGCCAAUGGCACUGCCCGGUAGCUAAAUGCGGAAGAGAUAAGUGCUGAAAGCAUCUAAGCACGAAACUUGCCCCGAGAUGAGUUCUCCCUGAGACUUUAAGUCUCCUGAAGGAACGUUAAAGACGAUGACGUUGAUAGGCCGGGUGUGUAAGCGCAGCGAUGCGUUGAGCUAACCGGUACUAAUGAACCGUGAGGCUUAACCUUACAACGCCGAAG
rnacentral:rRNA from 1 species